rnacentral:rRNA from 1 species
GACGAACGCUGGCGGCGUGCCUAAUACAUGCAAGUAGAACGCUGAAGGAGGAGCUUGCUCUUCUGGAUGAGUUGCGAACGGGUGAGUGACGCGUAGGUAACCUGCCUGGUAGCGGGGGAUAACUAUUGGAAACGAUAGCUAAUACCGCAUAACAUUGACUAUUGCAUGAUAGUCAAUUGAAAGGUGCAAAUGCACCACUACCAGAUGGACCUGCGUUGUAUUAGCUAGUUGGUGGGGUAACGGCUCACCAAGGCGACGAUACAUAGCCGACCUGAGAGGGUGAUCGGCCACACUGGGACUGAGACACGGCCCAGACUCCUACGGGAGGCAGCAGUAGGGAAUCUUCGGCAAUGGACGGAAGUCUGACCGAGCAACGCCGCGUGGGUGAAGAAGGUUUUCGGAUCGUAAAGCUCUGUUGUAAGAGAAGAACGAGUGUGAGAGUGGAAAGUUCACACUGUGACGGUAUCUUCCAGAAAGG